UGACAAGAGGCACUAAGUCAAUGACGCUCAAAUUACUAAACAAAAUUUCAGCCUUUCCUAAUUCGUUCUUUAUGUAACAUGCGCGAAACAAGUCAGGGAAAAAAAGUAUUAUUGUCUACGCAGUGGCUUUAUGUCCGGCAGACGCGAAGCGGUUUCAAAGAUGCCUGAAAAUUGUGGUCAAGCGAUUCAGACAAAGGAGGCGGCUUCGCGGAUGACCAUUUUUACGAGUUUGGGCAAAGUAUAAAAUCGGUAGGUACCAAAUCCAAGCGAAAGGCCUGUUAUGGAAUUCUUUUUUCUUCUUUGUUUUAUUAAGCAGUAUAGUUUGUUUCGUUAGUGUUAAUUAUUUAUCGUCAAUGUAUUGUCGUAGUUAACGGUAUUCUUUUAAGAAUAGUUUCUAAGUUUAUUUGCUCAUAAAAUCUCCACCGUGAUUAGAGCAUUGUAACCGUAGUAUUGUAAGUGUCGCGUUUAAACAGUAAGUUUGUUACGAAGUGUUAAUUUUGGAAUAAGUUAUUAUGUAAAAAUAUAAAUGUAAGUAACGUGUUGUGAGGGUGUGGUGAUUGACAGUCAGUUGAGGAAAAGAAGGUGAACUGAG